ensembl:lncRNA
CCGCUUUCAGUUCAUUACCUACCAAGAGGUGCCGUUCAGUUUCAGGAUGGUUUGCUUUUGUGUCAGAUCUCUGCUCAGGCCUGAGGACACUUGUUUUGUCUUUGCUAGAUAUUAUUGAGUUAAUGCAAUCAAUAUGGAACGGCAAAAUAAUCCUUUGAGGUCACCUUUAUAGUUGUUGCUGAAAGAUUGAUCUCGUCAGCCAGAACUUACUGAUGUCAUAGUCCAUUGAGGGAAGAGUGCUUCUGCACUAAAGCAAGACUAGAUAUCUUUUUGGGGAGAAACUUCGAACAGCUUGUAGCCCUUCGUUAUUCAUAGUUUGGGAGUAUUUGGUCACCUUAAACAGUAACGCGUCCAAAUAAGGCUUUUCUGUCUCCAUUUUUCACAUUAGAGGGCUUCACCUUGUAUGUAUGCUUGGGUCACCGGGAAAAGACGUGGCCAAAGACAGGAGACUGGCUGAAUAACCGGGUCAGGGGCAAGGCGACGUAAUCCGAGUCAGGCAGCGUCGGCAACGGGAAAUCAGUCCAAGAAAAAAUGCGACAGGUGAUCGGGAUUGGGCUGAGGAGAUGUUGGCUGGCAGGUGCACAGAUUGAACUGAUUAGGUGGAGUGAGAGGAGGGACGGCAGAAGCGACAGAGCUGUGACAAUGAAGCGGGAAAGAUGUCGACCCUGUAUUUAUUUGUUAUUGCCUCUUCACGUGUUGUGACAUUCUAAAAGGACCAACGCACUGCAUCACUCAGGAUUAUUAGGUUGCAUCUCAAAGGAUUUUUCACGAGGGACACAACAACAAGUCAACAUAAAAGCCCUUUGAAAGGUUUCCUGCAUCAUGUAAAAGCAUUUUUUAUGUUCAAAUGUCUACUGUGAAUUGGG